rnacentral:rRNA from 1 species
CAGUCGCCGCGGUAAUACGUAGGGUGCAAGCGUUAAUCGGAAUUACUGGGCGUAAAGCGUGCGCAGUCGGUUAUAUAAGACAGAUGUGAAAUCCCCGGGCUCAACCUGGGAACUGCAUUUGUGACUGUAUAGCUAGAGUACGGCAGAGGGGGAUGGAAUUCCGCGUGUAGCAGUGAAAUGCGUAGAUAUGCGGAGGAACACCGAUGGCGAAGGCAAUCCCCUGGGCCUGUACUGACGCUCAUGCACGAAAGCGUGGGGAGCAAACAGGAUUAGAUACCCGCGUAGUCCCUGUCUCUUAUAC